UACCCAACAAGCAAACCUCUAAACACAAGUUAAGUGAACAAAAUACGGGCACUCCUUACACCAUAUCUAAACCUCCACGAUACAGUCUAAUAGGUUACAGUUUACCAAACACACAACUCAAUAACCAUACUCUAUCAGUUUACACAUUCUCAAUAACAACUCAAUAUUCAACAGUCACAAGCUUCACAGAGAAACACUCACAGGAUCAACAAAACACAUGUUCAAGUUCAUCAAUAAUAAAAUGUGUAAUGCCAUGAGAUGCAAUGUCAAAUAUAGUGAUGCAUGUCUUCCCUAACGAUACACACCCGCUGUCUCUCAGUCCGGGACCCAUGGGGGACAUAUCUGUCCAUGCAUCUGUCGCGGCGCACGACACGACCCUCGAUAAGUAGUAACCUUCGCGGCGCGCGAUACGUCCCUCGAAAUUAGUACACCAUCCUCUUACCACAACAAUGUCUCAGAUACAAUGCAAAUGACAUGCUCAAAUGAAAAGGGAGGAGAUAACCAUUUGAUAACCAAACACAAUUUACAACAAGAAAUACAAUACCAACAAAUAAACAACAAGUCUCUAAAUCAUUCUCAACAUCACACAAGGAUAUACACGAAUUUCGUACGCUUAACAAGAGUUUAGAAAUCCACUUGCCUCAAAUAGUCGAACAAUCACUCUGAACUUGAGCCUUUUCCUUUCGUUGUACUUCCAAACCAAUACAAUCUAUUCCUAUUAACGAUCACAAUAAGAUUUUAAACCUAACAACAUCCAUAUCACUACGUGUCUAACAUAGACCAAAAAUCAUAGAGCACAAAUUUAUAAUCAAGUUCUCAACUUUUGAUGUCAUUUGACAUGUCAACUCUUUUAACUUUUCUCCAAUUUUCAAGUUUACGAUUAAGUCUUAAUUCCUCAAAUAUCACAAGUCUAAUGCUACUCGCAAAAUACAUUACACUUUAUACUUAUUUACCUAUCUCAAUAUAUCAAAACUUAAAUUAUAUGUGACAAUUAUAACAAGGAAUUAGAGAAACACUAAAAAUCAAAAUCAUGGACAUAAUAUUUUAGUUACAAGAAAACCCAAAAUUUUUCAGAACUCAAAUUGACAUAGGUUAUAUUCUUAGAAACUAUCCCUCAACAAUUAAUUAUCUUUACUGAUCGAUAAUUACCCUCAAUUUUUUUUUAAUCGUCAUUAACAUUACCACUAUGAUAAAUAUAUAUAUAUAGAAAUCACGUUCAAGUUGGUACAAUUUCAAUUCUGAUCCACUGUAACUUACAAAUAAUAAUAUAAUUAAUAAAGUUAACAAUUUGAUUCCUUACUCAUUUUCACACAUUAUUAUAAUGAUAAUUAUGCUUGUACUACAUUUGACCUCAAUAUUUUCAAUUGCAUAAUGAAUGAAAAAUUCAUGAACAUUACCUGAUCGUGGAUUGCAGUUCUACGCCAAUCGUCGCUAUACGCAGGUGUCUCCUUUUCUUUUCUUAAAGUUAUAAACUAAAAACUCUCUAACCCUAAUAAUUUAUUUCCUAUAAGGGUAAUUGGUAUAUGGUAAAAAAUAAAAUUUUUAUAAACUUAACCAUAAUUAUUAAUUACAAUUAGUUAUUUAAUAAUUAGUCAUAAAUUAAUUUAUUCUUAAUUAAAUUAAUAUUUAAAAUUUUCAAAAAUGACCUUUCGGGUCAUUACAUUAUCCACCACUAAAAACCAUAUUCGUCCUCGAACAUAAGGUGAAAGAAAGUACCUGAAGCCUCAAAAAGUUGAGGAUAUCUGGCACGCAUGUCAGACUCAGUCUCUCAAGUUGCCUCUCUCACUGAUCGGUGCUUCCACUGCACCUUCACUGAAGCAAUCUCCUUGGUUCUAAGCUUUCGAACCUGCCUAUCCAAAAUAGCUAUAGGCUCCUCUUCAAAUGUCAAGUCUGGACCCAACUCCACAGAAUCAAGUGAAAUCACAUGAGAUUCAUCCGGAAUAUACUUCCGAAGCAUAGAGACAUGGAAAACAGGAUGAACUGCCGACAAACUAGGUGGCAAGGCCAACUUAUAGGCCACCUCUCCCACUCGGCUCAAAAUCUCAAAAGGUCCAAUGAACCUAGGGCUAAGCUUGCCCUUCUUUCCAAACCUCAUUACACCCUUCAUGGGUGAUACUCGGAGCCAAACAUGAUCACCCUCCAUAAACACCAAGGCUCUAACUCUCCGGUCUGCAUAACUCUUUUGUCGACUCUGAGCUGUCAAUAAUCUAUACUGAAUCAUACGAACUUGCUCCAUAGCAUCUCUAAGCAAGUCUGUAUCCAAAGAGUCCAUCUCCGCCGAAUCAAACCAACCAAUAGGAGAUCUACACCGUCUACCAUAUAAUGCCUCAAAUGGGGCCAUUUGGAUACUAGAGUGAUAACUGUUAUUAUAGGCAAACUCCGCUAAGGGUAAAUGUCGAUCCCAUCUUGCACCAAAAUCGAUCACACACGCUCGAAGCAUAUCUUCCAAUACCUGAAUGGUCCGCUCAGAUUGACCAUCUGUCUGAGGGUGAAAUGCCGUACUCAUAUCUAACUGAGUACCCAGACCAUGUUGUAAUGCCUUCCAGAAGUGAGAAGUAAAUAGUGAACCUCGAUCUGAUAUGAUAGAAAGAGGAACUCCAUGUAGUCGCACAAUCUGGCUGAUAUAUAGUUCGGCUAACUUUUCUGCUGUAUACUUUACCCGAACCGGGAUGAAGUGGGCAGACUUGGUCAGUCUAUCAACAACAACCCAAAUAGAGUCAUAACCACCCACUGUGGUAGGCAAACCCACAACAAAGUCCAUAGUAAUCCGCUCCCACUUCCAAGUAGGAAUAGGCAUCCUCUGAGAUACACCCCCUGGCCGCUGGUGCUCACAUUUGACCUGCUGGCAAGUCAAACACCUAGAAACAAAGUCUGAAAUAUCUCUCUUCAUCCCACACCACCAGUAAUGCUGACUCAGAUCAUGAUACAUCUUUGCCGCUCCCGGAUGGAUGGAAUACCGAGUACAAUGGGCCUCCUCAAGAAUCAAUCUAAUCAAAUCGCCUGUCCUGGGCACACAAAUUCUGCCUCCGAUCCGCAAGACACCAUCAGAAUCAAGGACAGCCUCCUUAGCUUCCCCUCUCAAUACUUUGUCUCGAAUGAGACAUAAUUUUUCGUCAUCAAAUUGGUGUGCACGAAUUUGCUCGACUAAAGAAGACCGAGCCUCAAUAAAAGCAAUCAUCCCAUCACUCUCUUCUGAAAUCUGCAAGCGGACAAGACUGUUAGCUAAUAUCUGCACAUCUCUAGCCAAUGGUCUCUCCAUAAUACUAAGCGCUGCAAGACUCCCCAUGCUAGGAGUCUUCCUACUCAGAGCAUUGGCCACAACAUUGGCCUUUCCUGGAUGAUACAGAAUGGUCACAUCAUAGUCCUUCAACAACUCAAGCCAUCUCCGUUGCCUCAAGUUCAAAUCCCUCUGGCUAAAGAUAUAUUGAAGACUCCGAUGAUCAGUGAAGAUCUCACAAUGCACCCCAUACAAAUAAUGACGCCAUAACUUAAGUACAAAUACCACAGCCGCCAACUCCAAAUCAUGAGUAGGGUAGUUUUUCUCAUGGGAUUUCAAUUGCCUAGAAGCAUAAGCAAUCACUUUCCCCUUCUGCAUCAACACACCACCCAAACCAACUCCUGAAGCAUCACAAUACACAGUAAAGUCUACACCUUCCUCAGGUAGAGUCAAAACAGGAGCAGAAGUCAACAAAGUCUUGAGUUUUUGAAAGCUCUCCUCACACUCAUCAGACCACUGAAAACUCACAUCCUGUCGAGUCAAUCUAGUCAAUGGAGCUGCAAUAGUAGAGAAACUCUGAACAAAUCGUCGAUAAUAGCCUGCCAAUCCCACAAAACUCCUAAUCUCAGUAGGUGAGGUAGGUCGCGUCCAGCCUCUAACUGCCUCAAUUUUGGCUGGAUCUACUCUAAUACCCUCCUUGGACACCACGUGCCCCAAGAAUGUCACAGAAGUAAGCCAGAACUCACACUUUGAGAACUUGGCAUACAACUUCUCUUCUCUCAACCUCUGGAGUACAAUCCUCAGGUGUCGGACAUGGUCCUCCUCAGUCUUAGAGUAAUCAAGAUGUCAUCGAUGAAAACAAUCACAAAAGAAUCAAGGUAUGGUCGAAACACCCCAUUCAUCAACUCCAUGAAUGCUGCAGGGGCAUUAGUCAAUCCGAAGGACAUCACUAGAAACUCAUAAUGCCCAUACCGGGUCCGAAAAGCUGUCUUAGGGAUAUCUGAUGCCCUAAUCUUCAACUGAUGAUACCCAGACCUCAGAUCAAUCUUAGAGAACAAUGAUGCUCCCUGUAACUGGUCAAAUAAGUCAUCAAUACGCGGAAGAGGAUACUUAUUCUUAACUGUUACUUUGUUCAACUGUCUGUAAUCAAUACACAUUCUCAUAGUCCCAUCCUUCUUCUUCACAAACAAUACAGGGGCACCCCAAGGUGACACACUAGGGCGAAUAAAACUCUUACUCAAUAAAUCCUGCAACUGAUCCUUCAAUUCUUUCAACUCUGCUGGAGCCAUACGGUAUGGAGGGAUAGAAAUAGGCUUAGUGCCUGGCUCCAAAUCAAUAGCGAAAUCGAUGUCCCUAUCGGGAGGAACACCUGGAAGAUCAGAAGGAAAUACAUCGGGAAAAUCCUGAACCACGGGAACAGAAUCCAUGGGAGGUGGUUCAACGCUAGUAUCCCGAAUAAAAGCUAAGUAAGACAAACACCCCCUCUCCACCAAUCUCUGAGCACGGAUAAAAGAGAUGACCUUGCUAGGAUAAGAACCACUAACACUCUUCCACUCAACCCUCGGAACACCAGGCAUUGCUAAAGUCACAGUCUUAGCAUUACAAUUAAGGACAACAUGAUAACGAGAAAGCCAAUCCAUACCCAAGAUAACAUCAAAGUCCACCAUCCCCAGAAUGAUUAAGUCUACCCAAGUGUCAUACCCAGCCAAAGAAACAAGACAGGAUCGAUACACUCGAUCCACCACUAAGGGUUUACCCACGGGUGUAGAAACACGAAUAGGUACAGUCAUACUAUCACAUAUCAUAUCAAAUUUAGCAGCAAAAUACGUAGACACAUAAGAGAAUGUAGAACCUGGAUCAAACAACACAGACGCAGGUCGAUGGCAUACUGGGAUGAUACCUGUAAUAACAGCAUCAGAGGUCUCCGCCUCAGGUCUCCCGGGGAAAGCAUAGCAGUGGCCUCCUCGUCCACCUCCAUCCUGGGUGGUACCUCUACCCCCACUCUGCUGAGCUGCAACACCACUACUAAAAACUCUAUCACCUCUACCUGACUGAACUCUGCCACGACCUCUACCCUGUGGUGCUGGUGGUCUAGUCUGGAAUGAAGAAUUAGGUCGAGGACCACCACGACCCCUUUGUGAAGUACACUGCCGCAUUAGAUGAUCGGGAUCUCCACAAGUAAAACAAAAUCUCUGACCUGGGAACUGUUGUGUGGACCUUGAAAACCCACUAUAAUUUCCUCGCCCUGUAGGUCGCUGCUGUGAACCGUACGAGCUCUGACCCGGGCUAUAAGAACCCCUAGAUGUCUGGCCACCCUCAAAUGUCGGCAUAGAUGCAUGAAUAGGUCCCCGCUGCUGAAAAGAACCACUCACUCUCUGUGAUCCCCUACCUCCAGAUGAGGCACCAUGAAACUGUCCUGAUAUACGGGCUCUUUUAGGGUCCCCAAACUCCUCUCUCUCCAUCAAUUCUGCCUCUUUGGCGGCUCUCACAAUGGACUGAAAAGAAGCCCCCUCCCUAGAUGCCCGAAACACAGCUGACCUGAUAGAGAAAGUCAAUCCCCUCACAAAUCUGCGGAUCCUCUCUGUCUCAUUCGGAAUAAUGGCCAAUGCAUGCCUAGACAACUGGCAAAAACGCGCCUCAUACUCUGUGACCGAUAAACCAUCCUGUCUCAAACUCUCAAACCUCAAGCGACUCUCCUCUCUCACGCUCCAUGGGAUAAAACGAUCUUGGAAUGCACUAGCAAACUGCUCCCAAGUCACUGGAGGAGAUCCAACUGGCAAAACCCCCGAAUAAGUCCUCCACCAGUCUCUCGCUGGUCCACGAAGCUGGAGUGUAGCAUAUCUAACCCCAUGUGACUCAGCUAAUCCAACCACUUCUAGUAACUCUCGGCAGGUAGUUAGAAACUCAUGAGCGUCCUCGCUCUUCCCACCCUGAAACUGAGGUGGGUUCAUCUUUCGAAAUCUCUCAUACCUACGCUGCUCAUCCUCUGUCAGAACAACCAUCGAUGCAACUUGACCCCCAACUGCUGGUGCAAUAUCAUUCUGAACCGCGGGAUCUACUGGUAGUUGCCCCACCGCAUCCUGAACAACCGGAGCUUGUUGCUGCUCUUGGGUCUGAGCCCCCUCUCUAGUACGAGAGUCAUGUGGUGUGGUAGUUGCACCACCACCCUGAGAAAAUCCCUCUAGCACACUUAACACCCUCAAUAGCGUAUCCUGAAGCAAAGGUGUGACUACGGGAUCUGGAGGAACCUGGUCCUCUAUGUCAUCAAUCUGAGGUUCGGUAGAGACCUCUCUAGCACUACCUCUCAAUGGUGCUGCUCCACGUCCACGACCUCUGGCUACUGUCGUACUACUAGCACGACCUCUAGCUCGAGAUCUACCCCUACCCCUAGCUGGGGCCUCAACAACUGCCUCGGAAAGUGCCUCCCCUCUACCACCAGUAACAUUAGUUCUAGUCCUCGUCAUCUGUCAAAAGAGUAUACAACAACUCAGUACUAACGAAGGUAACUACGCACGACGAGAAACAAUGAACAAAAGCAAGUUUCCUAGUAAUCUUUAUAGCCUCUCAAAGAUGAGUACAGACGUCUCCGUACUGACCCUUGAGACUCUACGUAGACUCGGCUUGUAGACACGUGAGACCUAUGAACCUGGGGCUCUGAUACCAUUUUGUCACGACCCAAAAAUGGGUGUGAUGGCACUCGUCUUAUCCCACCAAGACAAGUCAGCCUAAAACCAAAUAUCUAACAAAGUGCGGAAGUAAAUGACAAUCCAACAACAAUUCCUAUUAUGAAACCAAGUUAUAUUAAUCCAAUCCCCAAAAUCAGGUUGUCACGUGCACAAGCCUCUAAUGUAAAUACUAGAAUUGAAAUAAAGUAGAAGUCUGAAUGAAGUUGUCUUUCAAGUAAAAACAAAGUCAUAAACUGGAGUAGGAAAGUUCGCUGAGAUGACAAGCAGCUACCUCACAAUCCUCCACAAGAUGCCUCGGAAACGAAAAGAAUGACAAGUAUCACGAUGAUCCAGGCUCGUAUCCUACAAAAAUUUGUAGAAGCAAGGGGUGAGUACCAAACCACGCGGUACCCAACAAGCAAACCUCUAAACACAAGUUAAGUGAACAAAAUACGGGCACUCCUUACACCAUAUCUAAACCUCCACGAUACAGUCUAAUAGGUUACAGUUUACCAAACACACAACUCAAUAACCAUACUCUAUCAGUUUACACAUUCUCAAUAACAACUCAAUAUUCAACAGUCACAAGCUUCACAGAGAAACACUCACAGGAUCAACAAAACACAUGUUCAAGUUCAUCAAUAAUAAAAUGUGUAAUGCCAUGAGAUGCAAUGUCAAAUAUAGUGAUGCAUGUCUUCCCUAACGAUACACACCCGCUGUCUCUCAGUCCGGGACCCAUGGGGGACAUAUCUGUCCAUGCAUCUGUCGCGGCGCACGACACGACCCUCGAUAAGUAGUAACCUUCGCGGCGCGCGAUACGUCCCUCGAAAUUAGUACACCAUCCUCUUACCACAACAAUGUCUCAGAUACAAUGCAAAUGACAUGCUCAAAUGAAAAGGGAGGAGAUAACCAUUUGAUAACCAAACACAAUUUACAACAAGAAAUACAAUACCAACAAAUAAACAACAAGUCUCUAAAUCAUUCUCAACAUCACCCAAGGAUAUACACGAAUUUCGUACGCUUAACAAGAG
rnacentral:lncRNA from 1 species